AGUGAACGCUGGCGGUAGGCCUAACACACGCAAGUCGAACGGCAGCACAGUAAGAGCUUGCUCUUACGGGUGGCGAGUGGCGGACGGGUGAGGAAUACAUCGGAAUCUACUUUUUCGUGGGGGAUAACGUAGGGAAACUUACGCUAAUACCGCAUACGACCUACGGGUGAAAGCAGGGGAUCUUCGGACCUUGCGCGAUUGAAUGAGCCGAUGUCGGAUUAGCUAGUUGGCGGGGUAAAGGCCCACCAAGGCGACGAUCCGUAGCUGGUCUGAGAGGAUGAUCAGCCACACUGGAACUGAGACACGGUCCAGACUCCUACGGGAGGCAGCAGUGGGGAAUAUUGGACAAUGGGCGCAGGCCUGAUCCAGCCAUACCGCGUGGGUGAAGAAGGCCUUCGGGUUGUAAAGCCCUUUUGUUAGGAAAGAAAAGCAGCAGGUUAAUACCCCGCUGUUCUGACGGUACCCAAAGAAUAAGCACCGGCUAACUUCGUG
rnacentral:rRNA from 1 species